AUUGAACGCUGGCGGCAGGCCUAACACAUGCAAGUCGAAAGAGUGGCGGACGGGUGAGUAAUGUAUGGGGAACUGCCCGAUGGAGGGGGAUAACUACUGGAAACGGUAGCUAAUACCGCAUACUAUCGGAUGAACCCAGAUGGGAUUAGCUAGUGGGUGGGGUAAAGGCUCACCAAGGCGACGAUCUCUAACUGGUCUGAGAGGAUGAUUAGCCACACUGGAACUGAGACACGGCCCAGACUCCUACGGGAGGCAGCAGUGGGGAAUAUUGCACAAUGGGCGAAAGCCUGAUGCAGCCAUGCCGCGUGUAUGAAGAAGGUCUUCGGGUUGUAAAGCACUUUCAGCUGGGAGGCGUUACCCGCAGAAGAAGCACCGGCUAACUUCGUGCCAGCAGCCGCGGUAAUAC
rnacentral:rRNA from 1 species